UCGAGAAUUUUUCUCAAUGGGGGAAACCCUGAAGGAGCGACGCCGCGUGGAGGAUGAAGGUCUUCGGAUUGUAAACUCCUGUCAUUGGGGAACAAUGGUCACGCGUUAACUGCGCGUGACUUGAUAGUACUCGAAGAGGAAGAGACGGCUAACUCUGUGCCAGCAGCCGCGGUAAUACAGAGGUCUCAAGCGUUGUUCGGAUUCAUUGGGCGUAAAGGGUGCGUAGGUGGCGCGGUAAGUCGGGUGUGAAAUCUCGGGGCUUAACUCCGAAACUGCAUUCGAUACUGCCGUGCUUGAGGACUGGAGAGGAGACUGGAAUUUACGGUGUAGCAGUGAAAUGCGUAGAUAUCGUAAGGAAGACCAGUGGCGAAGGCGGGUCUCUGGACAGUUCCUGACACUGAGGCACGAAGGCCAGGGGAGCAAACGG
rnacentral:rRNA from 1 species